UUAGUUCUUCUUCCUUCUGUAAGUAAUAAAGUGCCCAACCAACAGCAGCUUAAAUCAUAAUAAGUCCAGAGGAACGUGAUCUCAGGGUAUUUGAGCUCAGUAUUGUCAUCAAGGAUGCAGGAUCUUUCUGUACUUUCUGCUCAACCCUCCUUAGCUUGUUGACUUCCCCUCAUGCUUGUAACGGCAAGAUCAUGAGAUGGCAACCAGAGUCCCAGAUAUCAUCUCCAAGUUCAAGGCAAAAAGAAAUGGGAAGGAAGUUCUAUACCCUUUUAUCAAUAAAUAAACCCUAUUUGUAAUAAGCCCCCUCAGCAGACUUAAAAAAAAUGCAUUGGCUACAUCAGGGUCACAAAGACCCUUCUACCUGCAGAAGAGGCUGGAAAAAAUGAUCACAGGCUCAUAAUUUCUUAUUGGCAAUUCUGAAACCAAAAAAGUCUGAAAACUUAAAAGUCCUUUAUAAGUUUGGUGCCAAAAUGCAUUUGGUGGCUGAUAUGGUUUGGCUCUGUGUCCCCACCCAAAUCUCAUCUUGUAGCUCCUAUAAUUCCCACGUGUUGUGGGAGGGACCCAGUGGGAGAUGAUCGAAUCAUGGAGGCGGGUGUUUCCCAUGCUGUUCUCAUGAUAGUGAGUGAAUCUCAUGAGAUCUGAUGGUUUUAAAAAUGGGAGUUUCCCUACACAAGCUUUCUUUUUGCAGGCUGCCAUCCAUGUAAGAUGUAACUUGCUCUUCCUUGCCUUCCCAGCCACAUGAAACUAUCAUUUAUGGAAGAAAUAUCCUUUUUCUAUUUAUCUGCUG
rnacentral:lncRNA from 1 species